rnacentral:misc_RNA from 1 species
GAUGAAGAACGCAGCGAAAUGCGAUAAGUAAUGUGAAUUGCAGAAUUCAGUGAAUCAUCGAAUCUUUGAACGCAUCUUGCGCUCCUUGGUAUUCUGAGGAGCAUGCCUGUUUGAGUGUCAUGAACACCUCAACUCUUGUGGUUUCCCACAAUGAGCUUGGACUGUGGAGGUUUUGUUGGCCCUGUGGUCAGCUCCUCUCAAAUGGAUCAGCUUACCGGUGUUUGGUGGCAUUACGGGUGUGAUAACUAUCUACGCUCGUGGUCGUCUCCAAAUAACCUCCAGUGAUGGAGGUUCGCUGGAGCUUAUAAAUGUCUCUCCCCAGUGAAGACAGCCUUUGAACGUUCGAUCUCAAAUCAGGUAGGACUACCCGCUGAACUUAAGCAUAUCAAUAAGCGGAGGA